UCAACUACUUUUAAAACCCCGAAGACACAUAUGAAGUUUCAAUUUAAUAUCUGCAUUAGUUUUGGAGAGAGUAACUUGCAUGCAAAACUUUAACCAGAAUUUUCUAAAUCCAAAAGGGGCAUAAUUUGCCCAAAAUAAAUGUCAGAAUUAUGAGACUUGACCCAGUGAGGUUGGUAAUUAACUUAGAAAAAGAAAGAAAUAAGUUUCAAAGCUAUAUGCCUUUAAAUGACAGCCAUAUGUACUUGCAUGCAAAACUUUAACCAAGUUGUGACGCUAACGCCAGGGUGAGUAGAAUAGCUAGACUAUUCUUCGAAUGGUUAUUCUUGGAAUAGUUGAGCUUAAAAUAAAAGCAAUGAUUUUUAAGUUACAUAUUCAAACAAUGAAAUUUAACCAAAAUAUACAAGCAAUGAAUUUUAACUAAAAAUGAACAAGCAAUGAAUAUUUACCAAUCACAUAAUUGGUAGGCUUUUAAGUGUUACCUAUGUAUCAAAUACAUCAAAUUGUUAUGUCUUUGAUAGUUUAUGUGUACUUUCUUUCAGUUCUGACUCACAAAAAGGCUACAAAGGGAGUGAAUCAAAUUAUUUGAAUGUACCUCUGAUAAUUUUAAGCCAUUUCCGAAGUACUCUAAUCAGUACAAUCAACUGGAGAUACACCGGUCUGUAUCAAGGAAUAGUUUCCAUGACUUGUGAACACUCAUAUCUGUGACAUCACUGACAAUAGGCUUCUCUGGCACUCCUGGGAAUUCGGUCAAGUCUGGUGUUAAACAAAGAAGGAAUUUAAGCUCUGUAUAUUCUGCGAUAAACAAUGGUUGAAGCAAGGACCGGUAAGAAAGCAUUAUGACGUCAAAUUGCCACAUGACAUCCAAUACAUUACUCCUGGGGGAGAGGCCAUUUUUUGUACCAGCGUAUGAUGGGUUUCAGAUCUGCUGUUGCCUGGCAAAACAGAAGUGCCACUUCAUCCUCCUCCUUUAGUGACUGGUCCAAAUCGGCUGAUUGGGAAAAGUUUAAGGUCAUUAUCUGGAAAGAUAGUCAUGAUCCACUGAAGUGUGCAAAAAAAUAGAAGAUGUUAGGGGGUGAACAGGGUGUUAUAAUCAUGCAGGAUAGCAGAGUAUACAAGAAUAUCUGUGAGAGACACAAGGGUGUCUGUAUGAUGUGACAUCAUGUCAUUAUUUGUGCCAGACUACUAUUUAUAGAUUUCUUGGUUGUGUCAAUCCGCAAAAAAAAAAAUCCUAACAAACAAAUCAACUUGUCAUUUUUGCUCUUAUUGAAACUAAAAUUCAAUGACAUCAAAUGAAAUAGCCUUUGAGACAAAAACUGCAAAAUCUGAGGCAAAUGAAAAUACUGGUAAUGAUUUUACAGUAAUACUGUUACCAGUUUGUUCAGUUUUGAAUAGGCAAAAGAUUUAUGAAAGAACUCUAAUUUAAGUUUUGGCACUUUUAGUUCGUUAUUACUGUUUGAGCAUAGGUAGUGAUUAUCAAUAUGAUUUUAUUUUGAAAUUUUUCUUUCGAAUUGUCAGGUGUUGUUUCAUCAUUAAUAGAUUUGUACAUAAAUAUUGCCUUUUUAUAUUUUAUUCUGUCGCAAAAUUUCAUCCAGUUAUGUUAUUUGAAUAAAGUUUGAUGACAAGUU